rnacentral:rRNA from 1 species
CCUACGGGGGGCAGCAGUAGGGAAUCUUCCACAAUGGGCGAAAGCCUGAUGGAGCAACGCCGCGUGGGUGAAGAAGGUCUUCGGAUCGUAAAACCCUGUUGUUAGAGAAGAAAGUGCGUGAGAGUAACUGUUCACGUUUCGACGGUAUCUAACCAGAAAGCCACGGCUAACUACGUGCCGGCAGCCGCGGUAAUACGUAGGUGGCAAGCGUUAUCCGGAUUUAUUGGGCGUAAAGGGAACGCAGGCGGUCUUUUAAGUCUGAUGUGAAAGCCUUCGGCUUAACCGGAGUAGUGCAUUGGAAACUGGGAGACUUGAGUGCAGAAGAGGAGAGUGGAACUCCAUGUGUAGCGGUGAAAUGCGUAGAUAGAUGGAAGAACACCAGUGGCGAAAGCGGCUCUCUGGGCUGUAACUGACGCUGAGGUUCGAAAGCGUGGGUAGCAAACAGGAUUAGAUACCCCAGUAGUC